rnacentral:snoRNA from 1 species
AUGCGGUGAUGAAUUGUAACUGUGUGCCGAGGCUUUUUGUCGGUGAUGGCAGCACAUCCCUCUAAGAAGUUCUGAGCUC